GAUGAACGCUGGCGGCGUGCCUAAUACAUGCAAGUCGAGCGAACAGACGAGGAGCUUGCUCCUCUGACGUUAGCGGCGGACGGGUGAGUAACACGUGGAUAACCCACCUAUAAGACUGGGAUAACUUCGGGAAACCGGAGCUAAUACCGGAUAACAUGUUGAACCGCAUGGUUCAACAGUGAAAGACGGUCUUGCUGUCACUUAUAGAUGGAUCCGCGCCGCAUUAGCUAGUUGGUAAGGUAACGGCUUACCAAGGCAACGAUGCGUAGCCGACCUGAGAGGGUGAUCGGCCACACUGGAACUGAGACGCGGUCCAGACUCCUACGGGAGGCAGCAGUAGGGAAUCUUCCGCAAUGGGCGAAAGCCUGACGGAGCAACGCCGCGUGAGUGAAGAAGGUCUUCGGAUCGUAAAACUCUGUUAUUAGGGAAGAACAAAUGUGUAAGUAACUAUGCACGUCUUGACGGUACCUAAUCAGAAAGCCACGGCUAACUACGUG
rnacentral:rRNA from 1 species